AUAAACACCUCUCGCCGCACUCCAAACACACAGACACACAACAGAGCCCGCAGGUCCUGAGUGAGUCCCCUGGCCCACCCCACUCAGCUGAGAUCUGACAACAUAUGUCUGGGGACAAACAGCCCCAGCAGCCAGGAGCAGGCCACAUCAUACGUAGUCAGCAUCAGCCACGGUCCCCUCCCACUCUCCCGGGGGAAAAGGUGCUGCUUACAGGCAGCGUGGCAUCCGAGCAUCCCCAUGGCGAUGCUGAGGUCAGACCUCACUGUGGUGAUCUCAUGCUGGGGCCACCGGACUCAGGCCAGGUGGGAGUAGGCUGUCUACCCGUCACUGGCUGUCAUUGUCACCAAGGGAAGAGGAGAAGCUGUGAAGAGUUGCCCUGGAAAAAAACAAAUCUGCUCUUAGGACAAUGGGUCUGGGUGAACCUAUCCCGGCCCCCUUGGCUGCUGGGCCAGAACCUGGUUUUUCACAGGGCACCACUGAGGCCACAGGAAGUGGUUUCCUGCCUCUGAAGACAGCACACAACUGUCCUAGAAAGCGCUCUUGUCACCCCUGCUAAAAAGGUGAAGAAAGCCUCACAACAGCUCUUAGGAUAGAGUACUACUGUUAGUUGCAUCUUAGGGAGUAAACAGCAAAGAGAGAUGAGUUCACAUACUUGAGGUCACACAGCUCAUACAUGGCAGGGCUGGGAUUAGAGCCCAGGGUUCAUUGUAGCAGGAGCUGUGCUGGUCCCAUCUUGCCAUCCGCCCUGCAGGAGAGGACAGCAGGGGUCCUGCCAGAGGGGUAGAGAAUCAGAGGCUUGUAGAUGUCUUUGCCGCUUCCACGGGAUCUCUGGGAGCUGGAAACUGAGCUUUAAGAAAUAACUAUAGUCCAAAGG